GGAUAAUAGAAAACUUCCCGAACCUAUAGAAAUAUAUCAAUAUCCAAGUACAACAAGGUUAUAGAACACCAAGUAGAUUUAACCCAAAGAAGACUACCUCAAGGCAUUUAAUAGUCAAACUCCCAAAGGUCAAGGAUAAAGAAAGGAUCCUAAAAGCAGCAAAAGAAAAGAAACAAAUAACAAACAAUGGAGCUCCGAUACUUCUGGCAGCAGACUUUUCAGUGGAGACCUUACAAGCCAGGAGAGAGCAGCAUGGCAUAUUUAAAGUGCUGAAGAAAAAAACCCUCUUGCCCUAAAAUAGUAUAUCCAGUGAAAAUAUCCUUCAAACGUGAAGGAGAAAUAAAGACUUUCCCAGACAAUAGAAGUUGAGGAAUUUCAUUAAUACCAGACCCAUCCCACAAGAAAUGCUAAAGGGAGUACCUCAAUCAGAAAGAAAAGGAUAUUAAUGAGCCAUAAAUAAUCACCUGAAGGUACAACACUGACUGGUAAUAGUAAACAGAAAAACACAGAAUAUUAUAACACUGUAACUGUGGUGUGUAAGCUACUCUUAUCUUAAGUAGAAAGACUAAAAGAUGAACCAAUCAAAAAUAAUAACUACAACAACUUUUCAAGACAUAGUACAAUAAGAUAUAAAUAGAAACAACAAAAAGUUAAAAAGUGAGAGAUGAAAUUAAGGCAAGUUUUUAUUAGUUUUCUUUUUGCUUGUUUGUUUAUGCAAAGUGUUAAGUUGUUAUCAGGGUAAAAUAAUGGGUUAUAAUAUAGUAUUUUCAGGCCUCAUGGUAACCUCAAACCAAAAAACAUACAACGGACACACAAAAAUUAAAAAGCAAGAAACUAAAUCAUAUCACCACAGAAAAUCAUCUCCACUAGAGGAAGGCAGGAAUGAAAGAAAGAAAGAAGGCCACAAAACAACCAGAAAACAACUAACAAAAUGGCAGGAGUAAGUCCCUACUUAUCAAUAAUGACAUUGAAUGUAAAUGGACUAAUUUGCCCUUUGCCUUGACAGGCUCUACACUGCCCUGUGGAAGAGCUGCCUUGGGUGUAGGAAUAAGGUUGAAGACCCUUCCUGGAUUCUGAGAAUUACCACAAACUUGCAUUCCUGGAAUACAGAAUGAAAAGACCCUGCCACAAUGAGGGGCUGAGUAAUUAAUUGCCUGAAACACAUGGGUAGUCUGAAAUUUGAGAUUCUUAUAAAGGUGUGACUCACAGCUUUCUUAGAAAAAGAGAACAAAUAUCCAUUGCACCAGGAACAGGGAAAUUUCCCUCCCAUCUUCUUCUCUUUCCUAUUAGGAUCUCAUUCUGUAGCCCAGGAUGAAGAGCAGUGGCAUAAUCAUAGCCCACUUCAGCUUUGACCUCUCAGUCUCAAGUGAUAGUCCCCCCACAGCCUCCUGAGUAGCUGGGACCACAGGCAUGCACCACCAUACCCAGAAGCCACUGUGGAAGAUGACGAAAGGAAAAUGAAUCACAGAUGAGGAAGAAACAAAAACAAAUGAAAUAAAGAAAACGAACGGACACAGACUUUAGGAAUGAUGUUUGAUUCCUAAUUAGGCUUGAUAUUACCAUGUUUGGUUACUGGUGUGUUUUCAUUCAUGUCUUUUGACCUGCUUAAAAAAGGAAAGAGGUCACUUCAAGGGAUCCACAUUUCAAUUUCAGUGUGUGGCACAAUUACUCUAUACUAAGAGUCUACUAGCCGUCAUUCCCACAGUAAGGCCUGGCUUGUUCGUACACUGGGUGCAUCUCUGAUCUAAUUUUAUUAUGGAUGACAGCAUGACAUUCAUUUCCACCACAUUCUACACCGCUCCAAUUCUGAACUUGGCAUGUAAUAGCCAUAAAAUAACAUGAGUAAAGAAGGGGACUCCUGCACAGAACUCUGGAAACCAAUGCCCAAUUUACGAGUCCAAGCAUGCAUGACUACUGUAAACCAGAAUGGUACUAAAACCAAUAGAUAUAUGAGAAGAAAAUGAAUAGUUACGUAAAGGUUUAUUGUAGACACUGGUUCAUUUUCAUAAUUUUAGGUUGAAUAUACCCAGCUGAUGAAAGCUUUGAAAAACUGAGUAUAAUUCCUUAUUAAAAUUAAAAGCACAACCUGUUUUUUUUGUUUGUUUGUUUUUUUGUUUUUUUUUUUUUUUGAGACAGAGUCUUGCUCUGUUGCCUAGGCUGGAGUGCAGUGGCAUGAUCUAGGAUCACUGCAGCCUCUGCCUCCUGGGUUCAAGCGAUUCUCCUGCCUCAUCCUUCGAAAUAGCUGGGAUAACAGGCUUGUGUCACCAUGCCUGGCUAAUUUUUGUAUUUUUAGUAGAGACGGGGUUUCACCAUGUUACUCAGGCUGGUCUCAAACUCCUGACCUCAGUGAUCCACUCGCCUCCGUCUUCGAAAUUGCUGGGAUUACAGGCGUGAGCCACCAUGCCCAGCCGACCUGUUAUUUUUGAAAGAAAGCUAACUUUAGGGAACUCAGUAUUUGCAUGGCACCAAAUUAUCACCCCAGGAUGACUAGCGAAUUGACAAAGGGAAAAUAUAUCUUAAUAGUAAAGAGAAUUGUGGUUGCCAUUACCUUAAUUUGGGAAUCAAACUUGGCAUCACUAAUAGUGAGAAAACCAGGCUCAAUGUGAUCCUGAUGCCAUGCACUAUGUUUUUAAAAUUUUUAUUAAAAAUUUUUUUUGUGAGAGAGCCUCUCGGUCUGUCACCCAGGUUGGAGGGCAGUGGCAUGAUCACAGCUCACUACAGCCUCCAACUCCUGGGCUCAAGCAUGAUCCUCUCAUCUCAGUUUCUUGAGUAGCUGAGACUACAGGUGUGAGCCACCAUGCCUGGCUGCUGCCAUGCAGUAUGAAGGAGAUAGCCUCAUCUAUGAGUAUUCUUCAAAAUGUGUAACCUGAAUCAAGUCAAGACUUUAGGUGUGUAGGCUAUACAGAGGAUGGAGGAACAAGUUAAGCCACUUUAAAGAAAGAAUCAAAAAGUCUAGAACUGGGGCCUUCUAUAAGACAGGCUUAGUACAGUACAAAAAAGUGAUGAAGACCAGGACUGGUUUUUUUUGUUUGUUUGUUUUGUUUUUUUUUAAGGCCUGGCCUUUUAAAAAAGUCAAUAGCAUGAGAAAAGGGGAAACAGGGCUGGGCUCUGGAUUAAAAAAGAUGGACGACAUGACAAUUGUCACAUGUGUUCCUUGAUUAGAUUCAAAAUUGGAAAAAAACUCUACAUAUACUGAGUUGAUCAUUAUACAAUUCUACAUGCAUUGAAACAUCACACUGUACUCCAUAAGAAUGUGCAAUUAUUAUGUAGCAAUUAUAAAUAAAAAUUAAUUUUAAAACAGUAUGUUCUUAAAAACCCUAUAAAACCAUGAUAAUCAUUUGAAUAUGGACUGCGUAUUAUAUGAUAUUAAGGAAUUACUGUGAAUUUAUUAAGUGGCAUAUAUUGGUAUUUGGUUAUGUUAAAAAGGUGUCCUCAUUUUUUUUUAAAUGUAUGCUGAAGUACUGGAGGGUGAUUGAUUUUAAAAUGGUCUAGCAACCACAAAAAAACAGAUGAAGCAAAGAUGGCAAAAUAAUAACAAUUAUUAAUUAAAUGUAUUGGGUUAUGGGUAUGCAUUGUAUUAUUUUUUCUAUUUCUCUGCAUGUUUGAACAUUUUUAUGAUAAAAAGGUAAGGAAAAAAACCUUAGCUUUUAUUAGUUGCUAAUGAAAAUCAGGUGUUUCAAAACUAAUUAGUUUUUCUCUAUCCAUUUGGACCAGAUCACCCUUCCAAAUGAGCAAAAAAUUUAAAAAUAAAAUAACAUACUGAUAAUUUUUAAAAAUUAAGCACAGGUGCAGCCCUCAAGUGUCAACAACAGCAACAAAAUGGCAAUAAUUUAAACCACAUCAAUUUCCCUUUAAUUAUCUUUAUCUUAUGAGAUACAAACAAAAAUUUGCAGUGGUAACAGUGUCUGGUGUUUAUGUUUAAAUCCAUAUAAAUUGGUUACUUGCUGUUCAUAUCAGUGAAUGGUUUAAAGUGAAAACAACCCUGGUAAUCACAAAUUAUCUGUUGUAAUCAACUUUUCCACGUGAGUUAAUUGAAGCAUAGUGAGUACCAAUAAGUAAAAAGAAAGCUAGGCUUAGGGAACAGUUCACAAUUUAUAAAUAAUUAUGCCACUUAGCAAAUUAGUAAAGUAAUUUACUCCUCACAUCUACAAACCCUUGAACAACACAGGUUUGAACUGCGAGGGUCCGCUUAUAUGUGGAUUUUUUUCAGUAAAAGUUACAUUAAGUGUGUCUGGCUCUCCUGCCUCCCCCUCCACAUCCUCCACCUCUUCCGCCUCUGCCACCCCUGAGACAGCAAGACCAACCCCUCUUCCUGCUCAGCCUACUCAACUUGAAGAGGACACGGAUGAAGACCUUUAUGAUAAUCCACUUCCACUUAAUGAAAGUUAAUAUAUUUUCUCUUCCUUGUGAUUUUCUUAUUAAAAUUUUCUUUUCUCUAGCUUACUUUACUGUAAGAAUACAGUAUAUAAUACAUCUAACACAAAAUAUGUGUUAAUCAGCUGUUUAUGUUAUCAGUAAGGCUUCCAGUCAACAGUAGGCUAUUAGUAAAGUGUUUGGGGAGUCGAAAGUUACACUCAGAUUUUUGACUGCAAGGGUGUCAGCACCUCUGACCCUUGUGUUGUUCAAGAGUCAACUUUUUUUUUUAAUCAGCCUACUUUCCUAUCUGGAUUUAUGUGUAGAGUAUAUGGAUUAAAUUAAAUAUUUAUAUUUUACUGUAUACAUUUGACUUACAUUAUCUUGAUUUGGUGGUUGAGUGAUCAUUAUAAAAUUGCUGGAAUUCAUUUCCUGUAAGAAUAAAGUAAUUAGCAGUUGGGCAUAAUGGAAAUGGCAUGGGACUGGGAGUUAUAAAACCUGAAUGAUAUAGGCCACACUUAUGUGCUUGUGUAACUAAAUAAAUAUCUGUUUGACUUUGGGCA
rnacentral:lncRNA from 10 species